UACAGAGGUCUCAAGCGUUGUUCGGAUUCAUUGGGCGUAAAGGGUGUGUAGGUGGCGCCGUAAGUCGGGUGUGAAAUUUCGGAGCUUAACUCCGAAACUGCAUUCGAUACUGCGGUGCUUGAGGACUGGAGAGGAGACUGGAAUUCAUGGUGUAGCAGUGGAAAUGCGUAGAGAUCAUGAGGAAGACCAGUGGCGAAGCGGGUCUCUGGACAGUUCCUGACACUGAGACACGAAGGCCAGGGGAGCAAACGGG
rnacentral:rRNA from 1 species